rnacentral:rRNA from 1 species
UACGUAGGUGGCAAGCGUUGUCCGGAUUUACUGGGCGUAAAGAGCGCGCAGGCGGUCGAAUAAGUCGAAUGUGAAAGCCCCCGGCUCAACUGGGGAGGGUCAUUCGAUACUGUUCGACUCGAAGGCAGGAGAGGGAAGUGGAAUUCCCGGUGUAGUGGUGAAAUGCGUAGAUAUCGGGAGGAACACCAGUGGCGAAGGCGACUUCCUGGCCUGUUCUUGACGCUGAGGCGCGAAAGCUAGGGGAGCAAACGGGG